rnacentral:lncRNA from 1 species
UUUUGCAUGGGACCUGAACCAAGGCCCAUGUCUUUGCAGAAUUGUUUUCCGGGAUGCAAAUGGAUUCAGAUAUCACUCCUUGAACUAGAAGCCGUUACUAUAAUAUUUUGAAAGCUGGCAAAUUUUUUUCAAAGCUAGAAGAGCAGUUUUGCAUGGGGGGUUGCUGAGGUAGGCACAAGAAGAAAUCGGACAUAAAGCACAAGGAAAACUGUUUGAGUGGAUUGGUUGCUGCUCACUAAAGUUCUUCCCCGAUCUCCAAAUAUGGAGGUCAUUACCGAGAAAUGGCUUAGAUGUGAAUGAGAGCCAGAUCCCUGUGGCUCCACCGCGUGAGCCAGUGAAUUGUGGCUAAUUCGGCUGUUUCGGCCACUGGUUGGCUGGAUUUUAAACCAUAAAACUUGAAGAUAGCUACAAAAGGAACAGUUUGGCUACAAGCCUGAGCUUUAAUGGAACAUACGUCCUCACAGAAAAGUUGGAAGUAACCAAAACUGAAGUUUUCAUCUACCUUCAGUUUAGUCUGUGGAUUUGUUCAAAUACUAAAGAUCCUCAGGUCCAGAAUUCCAGCAUCAUUUAUUCUUUUAAAAUAAAUUUUUAAGAACUUGAUCCGUUGUAUCAGUACCUCACAAUCAAAGUUGGCAAAUGAUGGAUGAGUGAUUCAAGCAGCGUGCCCUUUGGAAGCUGAAAUCCAUCUGGAUGGAGCCGAAGUGAACGUGAAUAUGCUGACUAUAUCCUGGAAGCAUUUUUAUACCAUCUUGCGAUUUCAACAAACUGGCUUUUGCCAGUUUAUCCAGCUGUCUUUCAAGAAUAAAAGUUGGGGUUUUCAAGGAUCGCCUCUUCUAUAUUUUAAAUGGAUUUUCAGUAUGAUUUUUACUAAUCAAGUUAAUCCCACCCCAUCCAAAGGUAUUCCUACAAAUGUUAUAGACCUAGGUAACUUUGAAUUGAAUGGGAGCUAAUGUUCUUUCCAAAGUUUUCAGGUAUACUUUGUGUGACACCUUCUCAACCAGGAGGCAAGUAACCCCACCUCCACAAUCUUAAGUUUGUUUUUUGUUUUUUUUUAACUGCAUGCCUGCCCUUUAUUUGAGCUGCCUUUUAAUUUAUUGCAUACCCCUUUUAUUAUCUUAUUUUGGUAUUAUUCAAUCUAUACAAUCUUUUUGUAUUUAUUGUGAAAUAAGUAAUAUACAAAAAGGUCAAUUUCAUGACUUGUGGCUGAGAGGGAGGGAAAUGUGUAUAUAAAAUUAGGCUUUUUAAAAAAAUUAGAUUUGAUUCAGAAUAUCACUGAUCUUAGAUUUUUUUUUUUUUAAAAAAGGAAGAGCCACAAACAUUGGUGCCCUUUUCAGACUAUUUCUCUACUCUCAUCAUCCACAGUAGACUUUUUAAACAAAUUUUUUUUAGGCUUUUCUUUUUUUAAAAUUUUUCUCCGUUGCAAAGAAUGGUUCCUAAAUUGUAUGGGAGCAAUAGUAUUUUUGAUGUUUUAAUGACAUCUGUAUACUCGUACUGUAUUUUGUACUACAAGGCAGCUGUUUUCAAUAAUGUCCUGCUGUAUUUACCUAUGUGUUUUGAGUGUUUCUUUCUUUGCUGCGGAGAACAAAUCCCUCAAUAGUUUUAGUAGUAAAGGAGCUGAGAAGCUAGCUUUAGUAGGCUUGCAGAAACUGUUUAAGUUUCGAACUCUGAGGCAGCAAUGAAAAAUCAAGGUUGCAGCUCUUAGUUGAUUGCUGUCACUUUUUCGAUUUCAAAACAUGUAUAAUUCCUGUAUAGACCAACUUGUUUUCUUGCUUCAGCGGUGGUUCUCUUGCUCAGCUGCAGUGAGCCAGUUCAAUUUUGCAAAGGUGCAGUACCUCUCCUUUUUAAGGGGUUGGUUUAUUCUUUCUUCUUUUCUUUUUGUUUGGCUGAAUUGCAGUAACUAGCCUUGCCUUUCUAUUCUGUAGAAAUGACAGGGUCUUCACAAUCCUUCACCAGUGGCUACUAAGCUAUAAUUAGCUGAAUAGAAAGAAUGUGGAAGUGGUCUGAGGCAUAUAGAGUGUAUGCCAAGAACACUGCCAUAUAUGGCAUCAGCUUUGGUUACCAGAGAAAUUUUCUUAGUCAUUAGACCAUAUAACAGUAAUAUAUCAUAUGUAAAUCUUUAGAUAUCAAUUUGAGAAUCCUCCAAAAAAAGGAGCAAAGAAUGCAUAAGCUAUGUGUUGGAAAAGUAAUUUAUAUUAAAAUUUUGACCUGCCUAUGUAAGAUUAAGUGGUAAAUGUCAUAGUGGUGGGUUUUUCAGUCUUAACCAAUCUCAGAGGUUUGUUUCUCCUGCAGGAGGCGGGUCCUGGCCUCUUCUCCCUGCAGGAAGAUGACUGGAGGAGGUGGAUUAAUUGUAGCAUUCACUGAUCCUCAUCCCAGUCAGUGGGGACGAUAGAACGCUGCCAAGCACAGACACUACACUUGUGGCUUGUGGUUGGUUCGUUGAGCAAGGUGAUGUGGACAGGCUGUCUCUCAGAACGCAUUCCUGACUAUUGCUACUAAAGGAAGGGAUUCCCCUCCGCAAACGGCAUGGUACAGACUAUGGGAAACCAAUUUUUUUGGUUUUGUCUUUCCCCCUCUACUGUGAACAGUGAUUUAGGGCUGUUUUUCAACCUUGGCAAACAUCCCAGCUAAUCACGUGUUCAAAACAGUCAUGUUCCUAAGAAGGAGGGAACUAAAAUUCCCUCUUCGGGUCGUUGGUGGAAUGUUUGUUUCUCAAACUACUGCAGUCACAGGAGAAAACAAAUUUUAGGAACAGAAUCAAAAGAGCGAAACCUGGAGUUCCCUUGUGGCUCAGCAGGUUGAGGAUCUGGCGUUGCCGCUGCUGAGACUCAGGUCCAAUCCCUGGCCCAGGAACUUCCCCAUGCCACAGGCACAGCUUAAAAAAAAAAAAAAAAAAAAGGCAAAAAUCUGUGACAAGAUCUUCCUUUCUGGUUUCUAUUGUCCCUACCUAUCAUUCAAGUCGAAUGGCAGUUCUAGUCAGCAGAGAAAGUUUUCUGUGCGAAUGCUGCGCAAUACAAGAUGCAAAUCUGUAUGGCACCAAAAAUCAAAGUGAAAACCAAACCAAAAACCCAGACACCCUAUGUUACUGUGGGAGGCAUGUAGGUGGUUUAAAUGACUGUAGUUGUGAUACACACAUGGCUACACGUCGCUUCACUUUCCAUAAUUAUUUACUGCAAAGUGAUUGAGGAGCUUUGGUGCAGAGGCGGCCGAGACCUGCUGCUGCUUCCUUUGUUGCCUCUCAGUCACUUUGCAAUAAAUUGCAGGUCUUUUAAGAGAUUCAAGCUUCAGUUUUCUCAAAACAAAACAAUUAUCCUGGCUUAUCUGACAAUGCAGGGUUGUGGGCAGAAGAGGCUGGUUAUACUAAUGCCCUCAUAUUGAGUGGUCUGUAAAUGGCUGCACACUUCAGGCGCUACAUAGUGGCUGAGAAUGCUUUGUUAAAUGUAACCUUGACUGGCUGUACAGGGGGUAGAGUGUGCUCUACACAAGGUGUUAAAAGCUAACUAUUGGUCUGUGUCUACCUUGCUCUUGAGGUAGAUGAAAUUGAGAAGCUUGAGUGUGUAAGCCAUGUGCACAUAGGUAUUCUUCACUGUAAAUUUUGUUUUCAUUUUUAACCCAGUUAUGGUACUUUGUCCAAUGCACAACUGAUCUCUCAGUAGAUAUUCACUUGAGAAUAGUGUGGCCUUGAUCAGUGAGAAGGGGAAGGAGAGAAGUGACUUUUCGAUUAUGUAAAAAUGACUCGUUUGCCGAGAGUCGUUCUGCAGCACUCUUAGUAUCUAACGCGUUUGUGGUCGGUCUCCUUGUUGAUGGGGGGAAGUUAAUGUUUUUUGACCCCGGGAGUUAUGAAUUCAAUUGAGUUGUCUUCUAUUUUUAGGAAGUAUCAGAAUUGCUCUGAUAAGUAACAAAGUUUGACUGCUUUGAUGUCCAAUCUCAGGUUUUAGAAUAUAUAUAGUGGCGUAAAAUUCCACUGUUAACUCUUAAACAAUUUUAAUCUAGUACGUUCCCUAAAAGUCACACGCAGGAGGCCUGUUCAGAGAGCAGAGCCUCCCACCUUUUUGCCCCUUUUCCACUUUGUACUUCACUUGAGAAAGUGUCAAGUGAUUUUCCAUUGAAUGUUUCCAUUUUAACCCUGACGUAUUUCUCAAAGAUAAAGCACUUUUUGAUCAUGAAAUACACGGAAUCUGUGUGUGAUGUGGAUCAUGGUUUCUCAGGCUCCCCAGAUAAUUUGCUUAGGAAUAUCGUUCUAACUCUGUGAGAAGAGUAGAAGUCUUUGCUAAUGUGAGAGCGUUUGUAAUUUUGAUCUAGAGUGCAUUCUGCUAGCUUCCAAUGGAUGGGAGAGUAAACAAUGCUGCAUUCACGAUGGAAGAAGUUACUUUCCCUUGAGCCUUAAAGUAGCUUUUUUUUUCUGUCAGUAACGAGGCACUGAAGUUAUAGUAAAUGAAUGAGAUUUCUAGUUUUCAGGGUUGGUUUUAGAGAGUACUGUAAACCAAUUAGCUGUCUUCCUAAACAGUUACUAUUCCCACUGAAUAAACUGGAUAAUGGGUGUGUGGGUGGGGCUUGAGGGGGGCGGGAUUAUUUGUAGGAAAAAAAAAUUAUUUUUACCUUAAGAAAAGUACGGACACAAAAGGAAGAAGUCCAUAUCAAUGCUGUUUGAAAUUCCAGGUAUAAGGUGGAAAUGGGAAGUUGUACCCUCAUUUCACCUGUUUUUAAUCUAGAGAAGCAAAGUCAUUAAUUUUAACAUGUUAGCCCCCAGAAAUUUCAAGAGAUAACAGACUAUUGAACGGUGACUUCUCUUCAUGUGUAUCUAUCUGCUAUUUAAAGUUGCUCUUCCCAGCCCUCAGUCUUAAGACUUAGUUUCAUUACUGAUGGAUUUAAUGGACUCUUUUUUUUUUCAGUAAAUGUUGUUCAGAGUUCCCUGGUGGCUCAGCGAGUUAAGGAUCUGGCAUUGCCUCUGCUGUGGCACAGGUUCCAUCCCUGGCCCGGGAACUUCCACAUGCCAUUGCCCCCCCCCAAAAAAAAUGGUCCAAUUGUCAGUAUGAAAUUUGGAUAAUAUUGUAUGUGAAGACUUUUUACUCUAGUAAUUUCCAAUUGAUAUCUGUAUCCCUGAUCCAAGUAAGACCUUUAUGAAUGUAUUUUGCAUUUCCUCGUGAAAUAGGGAAUAUGCCAUCAAUGUAAUCACCUUUAUUUGCAGUCUUUUCCUUUUCGUUUGAAAAGCUGACUCACACCUCCUGGAUUAGACAUUCCAGUUGGGAUAGGUAAAGCCAUGUUAAAACAACAGCAAAUGCCACAUUGGUAGUUUUCACUGCUCCGUAGGACUUCUCGUAACAGGAGGGCAGAGCUUUGUUUGAUGCAAAAAUGUUAUUUUUCUUUUUCUAUAGGUGAUUCUAACAGAUGGUUUAAUGAAAGCGUACGACUGUACUUUUGAUUAACAUGGGAUUUUAGGAGCCAAUUUCCUUUCCCUUUGUUAUAUGUAAAAUAUCCAUUGACUUGGAUAAGAGAGGGCUAGUCAUACCUUUAGUAUGAUGAAUGUGGGCCCAGAGGAUUGGAGGGAAAGCAGUAUUGAAGUUCAUUGUCCACUAGCAUAUUGCAGGAGACAUGAGUUUGUCUUUUUUUUUUUUUUUUUUUUUUUUUCAAUCCCUGCUCUAAUACAUCAGUGGCUGAGUCGUUGAAGAAAUUGAUUUAGAUGAUCUCUUAUUUCUUAAGGCAAACUCUCAUCCCUGGGCUUGCCCUACAUUGCAAGAUCAGACUGGGCUUAAAAAAUCCUCACCCAUAUUUGGAACUAGAAUGGCAAGUAGUAGAUUUUUCCUCUUUUAAAAUUCCUUUUUCAGGGACAUAACUGGGGAGAGAAAGUUGAAAAUUGAAAAACAGGUACAUUUUAAACUGUUCAGAUAUGAGGCUUAAACCCUCUCCCAGCCCACAUGUCACCUCUGUGGCAAAAGCUCUCUGGAUCCCUAGAAGUUAAUAGAUUGGACAAAAGUCUAGAAACUGAUUUUCUUUUUUAUUUUUCCCUCCCUCCCCCAAGAAAAUGAUUUUAAAUAAGUACAGGGCAUACUUAAAAAGAGUCUAUAGUUUUGUAUGUUAUGGUAGCAGAUAAGUAAAUUUGAGGGUUCUUUUUUCAAUGAUAUCAAUAUUUGAAUAAUAACUAAGAUUAUCAGUGUAUUUGGACUUUUUUCUAAAGUUCUGGAAUGAUUAGUAGGGAUUUAUUCUUCCUUUUGCACCUUCCUGCAGAUGUUUUUUCCAAGACCAUUGUUAGAAGUCUGUUCAUCUUCUGAUAGAAAUGUCCAGAUAACAUACUUCCUUCACUGCCGGUUAUGUCUGCCAGGGGCCUCCUUAGACUAGAUUCUUCCUCACUCCAAAGUUGGGACUCAUGUCCUGCCAGUAGCGAAUCUGCAGAAGUAAUUUGAAUGAGUUAAAACCAAAUCUUGAUAGCAGGAGACAGAGCUUCCUGAUCUAGAUGUACCACUAGAGUUUAGAUUGGAAGUUCCUUUAAAGGGGGUUUUUUGGGAUGUCUUCAGUCUCUGUGUAAAUAUCCACAUGCUUGUGCAUUGUAAACCAAGUGUGUAUUCCUACGUAUGAAUUUGUAGAACUGAUCUCUCUGCUUCAAGAGAAGCUGCACCUUUAAUUUUAUAAGAUCCCCUCCACCUGUUACCCUAUAAAUAUUUGUAAAUAGAACACUAAAAUUUGUAGUGAUAGGAUCAAUUUGGGAAUAUCUGCUGAGAGACCAAAAAGUUCAUUUUUUUAAGUACCUUGGUUAAAGAGUAAAGAUUAUUCCUCUUAUUUUUUAAAAGAAGAAUGCACUUUAACAAACACAGAGCUGCAUGGGCAAUUCAAAUAAAUCUGUGAAGUGCAGUACCCAUUCAGAAAUCAUACUUCCUGGAAACCGUUCAAAAGCAGAGUCUAGACGGGCUGUUGAUCUCACUGCCUGGCCGUUGAAGCUCAGAUUCCGGUCAAUUUUGAGACGAGCAGGGCUGCUUCAAAAGAGCAACGUGAAUACAGCCAGAAGCUUCAGACAGGUCUGUCAAUGGCGGGUCCCGUACUUACCACUAACUAGCAAAACUGACAAGAAAAAAACUCAUAGAGAAAAAAAUCCUACUGCUGGUGUGCACUCCUUACCAUAACAGACUUUUGCAAAUGGAGUUUUACAGUCUAUAUUUAAAAAAUUGUAUGUUUGUAACAAAUAAAGUAUGCGGA